rnacentral:rRNA from 1 species
CCUACGGGUGGCUGCAGUGGGGAAUAUUGGUCAAUGGGCGCUAGCCUGAACCAGCCAAGCAGCGUGAAGGAUGACUGCCCUAUGGGUUGUAAACUUCUUUUGUAUGGGAGUAAAGUGCAGUAUGUAUACUGCUUUGCAUGUACCUUAUGAAUAAGGAUCGGCUAACUCCGUGCCAGCAGCCGCGGUAAUACGGAGGAUUCGAGCGUUAUCCGGAUUUAUUGGGUUUAAAGGGAGCGUAGGCGGUUUGUUAAGUCAGUUGUGAAAGUUUGCGGCUCAACCGUAAAAUUGCAGUUGAUACUGGCAGGCUUGAGUACAGUAGAGGGAGGUAGAAUUCGUGGUGUAGCGGUGAAAUGCUUAGAUAUCACGAAGAACUCCGAUUGCGAAGGCAGCCUGCUGGACUGUAACUGACGCUGAUGUUCGAAAGUGUGGGUAUCAAACAGGAUUAGAUACCCCGGUAGUC